rnacentral:tRNA from 1 species
GCGGGUGUGGCGGAAUUGGCAGACGCGCUAGACUUAGGAUCUAGUGACUAGUUCGUGGGGGUUCAAGUCCCUCCACCCGCACCA